ACCUGGUGAUGUGGGAAUUUACAGUGCAAGUCCCUAAAGCACUCGCAAGUCUUGAAAAAGAGUUCCCCAUCCAUUUGUGAGAAACUUGUGAUGGCUCUCCGAAGCU